AAUCCAUGGUGAGGUCAAUCACGGUCAUACUCUUUAAAACGCUCCCAGGCUUCAUAGAAAGGUUCAGCCGGUCCUUGCUGGAAACUUGAGAUCUUUGUUCUAAGUAA
rfam:Eutrema salsugineum unplaced genomic scaffold scaffold_17, whole genome shotgun sequence.